CCACCUUGCCACUUUCACCAAGUGAGCACAUGUGAGAAGACAGCAGUCUGUGAACCAGGCAGCAGGUCCUCGCUGGACACCAAAUCAACUGAUGCCUUGACCUUGGUCUUCUCAGCCUCCAGAACUAGCCUUGGACAGAGCUCCUGACGAUUGGGCCUUCCUGGUUCCGCUGCUAACCUGCUGGGGACUUCAGCAAAGCCUUCGCCUUCCGCCUUGGUGUUCUCAGAUACUCCCUGCAUCCAAUCCAGGCCAGUAGCUCGGGGUGUUGGGAUUCUGGAACAGGAAUCGGGCAAGAAGAUGGAGGAGCUGUCCUGGCCCCAGAGUAAGGACACAGAAGUACCCACAGGUCUCACUCUUCCUCCCCUCUUCCCCCACCCUGGAACAGGGAAGUACAUCCCAUGUUGGCAAUCCUGGCAGCCACAGGCAGCUAACGGGUGCCUGCUGUCCCAGCAAGCUGCCUGGGCUCGUGCCCAGUUAGGGACAUGGCCUGUGUCACCCCAACUGUCCAGGUCACCCAAGUCAGGCAAAUGAGCUUUAGGUACUUUAAAAUCAGAUUUGGAUACACACCAAACCGGGAUGCUGUCUCUGGAGAGAGGCUGGGAUUGUGCACAGAGGUCAAAGGGGUGUUGAGCCUUAUCUGCCAUAUUCCAUUUUAUUUUCAAGGAUAAUGCAUUCAUGGACUUCUUGUAUAAUUAAAAAACCACACACACACCCUUUGUCUUUUGUUGUUUUUUUAAGAUCUGACUUUUAAAGCUUACAGUAAAAAUAAGAAUUAUUUUAUAAGAGACUCCAAACAUGUUCUUUGGAGUUGGGAGGUGGGAAGGGACUUCCUGAUUAGCGCUGUGCUCCUGAUGUGCUGGCAUCAGGUCUGGCUCCUUGUGCCUCAGUUUCCCCAUCGGUACCAGAGGGAGACAGGCCUGAUAAUCUCCAAGGUUCUUUCAGCCCUGCCAUCAAGUGACAAGAAGCUCCACUCUGUGAAGUCACAGGGAGCCUGUCUGCCUGGGUUCCUCGCAAGCCUUAGUUACAGUGGUGGGAGCUGAUUCCAGAUGCCAGCCCUCAGGGGCCUAAGAGUUGUCCCAGGGGGACCCUUGGGGGCUUUUUGGCCAAGUCAGCUAAGCUUCUUUCCUGGGGAUAGUAACGCCAGGCCUCAGAAAGCUUCAACAGCCCAGCCUCUGUGCAGCCGGACCAAAUGCGGGCUUGCAGCCUGUUAGUCCCUUUUCUUGGCACGCUUGAAAAUGAACAACCAUGAUCUACGGUUGUCAUUAAGACAGAGAUGUUCUGGUUAGGGACACUGGCCCAGUGACCCUGCCCCUGGCACUAAUCACUAUGACAACAGCUCAAUAGGGUCCCAAGGGCCUAAGAAUCCUGCUUCCACUGAGGGCGAGGUUGGCUGAGGUCAGACAAAGAGGGAUUAAUAGAGCCCUGUUCUCAUUAAACCACAAAGCGCCAUUAUUACAAGUUGCAACGGCCCUAGCAGGAGAUGUAUCAUGUUUUCAAGUCACAGAGAAUCCAGCAAACCAAAGAGAAUGGUUCCAGCAUCAGCCACAAAGUCACCAUGGGGCCCGGAAUCAGAGGAGGAGCAGAAAAAUCUGAAAUAACCCAAAUGUUCAACAGACGGUUGUGUAACACACAGAACAGCCAGCCAUAAAAUAGCACCGACUGUGGACAUCCAGAUGGUGAUGUUGAUCGCAUUUUCUACGUUAAAAUCCUCAUGACGUGGAAGCAAGUCCACUAAAACUGUAAAUCAGCAACAUUUUUGUUAAAAAAAAUCAUAUACAUAUGUAUAGACAGUGAAAACACAGAAGAAAAAGCUUUCAAAAUGUGAGUAGCUAUUUUUGAAAAGUGAGAUUGUAUGUAAGUCUUUUUCUUUGGGUUUAUCUGUAUUUUCAUAAUAAAUAUAUAUUUCUCUUGUAUUUCAAAAAUCUUUUAUUCUUUUAAAAAUUGGUGCAGAGAAUUUGAGGGUGGGGUGGUCAUUCUUUCCCUUUGGAGUGAGACUUCAGUUAAUGAAACCUACAAGAGGGCACUGUUUUGGAGAGUUAAAUUUUCUUUUUAUUAAUAUUUUAUUAAUCUAAGUACUAAUAUUUAAAUAUUGGUUUUACAUUAACCAGUGUAUAAGAAAAUUAUUCUAAACAGUACUGCAUCUUCUCAUGCCUCCUUGCAACUAAGUACAAUAAAAAUAGUUUAUCCUUAGUUUUAUCAUUGUGAAAGGUGCAGAUUCUACCAUAUUGCAUAAUACGCAGAUCUUUAGGGUGAUUGGCUAAGCAGAAGGGUUUGUAUUUGCACUAAGUGGCUUCAGAUUAUUCCCCUUACUGAGUAUCUAGAUUUGCUUUUUAUAAUUUUCAAUUUCCUCCAUACUAAUAAACCAUCAGUAUCAAUAUUCUAUCUAUUCUA